rnacentral:tRNA from 1 species
GGUGGGAAUAUUGUGAAGUUACUGCUAAUAACUUUUUGUCGGUUAGUACCGACUCCCCCCU